CCGGCUCCCCGCCCGCCCCCUCCCUGCCUCCCGCCCGCCCUCGCCGGCCGCUCCCGCCCCUCCCGACUCGCACGUGGUGCUCCGCGCCGGCCGGGCCACCUCCGCCCGCUGUGGGCGCGCGAGCGGGCCGGGCGGCGGGUGCGGGCCUCGCGGCCACGGGCUCCCCGCCGCCGGGCUCCCGCGGCCGUCUGACGGCGGCCCGCACCGGCGGCGGCUGUCGGACCCGGGCUUUGCGGCCUCGGAGCCGGGGAGUGUCUGCGGGCUCAGGAAAGCGUCUCGGCGCCUGCUCUUCCGCCGUUGGGGCCGCGGUGCCGGCGCCGGGCCGGUGACAGCCCGCCGGGAAGGGCCUCUCCUCCGAGGCCGGCGCUGCCUUGGCCACCCCCAGACAUCUCUGGCCGAAGUGGCCCCUCGCGCGCUCGGAGCGCUGCAGAAGCCGGCGUGGCGUGACCCCCGGACGCGGGCGUGGCGGCCCCGCGGCCCCCACGAGGUAUUCCCGGGUCCCCUGGCCGCGACUGUCCUCGCUGCGCUCGGAGAAGCGGGUGGCCGCCCAGCUCUGCGCGCUCCCUAAUUGGGAAAACUUCGAGAAAGGGCCGCUGAGAAGCCACUUCGGUGGCAAAGCAGAGGCAGUCCACAGUGACGGAUUCUUGGAGGUGAGGGUGGGGACCUUUUCUUUGCUGGAAAAUCACCACCGCCGCGCGAGGGAAACGCUCCGCCCCCACCCCGGCGACGGGAGGAACGAAGUGUGGCUCGGGGCCCCUCGUCUGUCCGCUACGUGUGCACACGCAGGGAGGAAACUUGUGUGGAGAGCGCCCGAGGCGACGCUGCGGCCGGCCCAGGGACACGGCGUCCCUCUUCUCCAUCCUCAGCCGGCGGGGAGAGCGAGCGGACACUGCGCUGAACCCCGAGCUCCAGGAGGAGGUCCAGGUCCCCGCUAGGGCUCAGACUGGUGCACGGUCCUCCUCGCCUCCCUGUGCACCGGACUUCGGUGGGGCAGGCCGCUUCUGCCUUUCCACUCGCCGGCCAGAUCCCCGCGGACCGGCAGGACCCAGGAAGCCACCGUGCUCCUCAGAGACAGACAGUGAGGCAAGAGUCAAACAGUCCCCAGCGGACGGCCUAGAAGCCUGGAGGAGCGCAGGACUGCACCCAGUUGCCCUUGGGUUCAAGCCAAGAAGAGAGCCUGGCUGCCCCGGAGGGACCAGAGUGAGGCCAGCAGGAGGCAAAGCCGAGACCCCAGGAACAUCCCUGGAGCAAAACGUCCUGAAGUGAGGGGCCAGGGACUGGGGAUGGUCUGAAGCUCUCCAGGCAGGGCCCGCCACCGGGCAAAGCAGAGCAGGUGCUGGGAGCAGUGGGGGCUUGGUUCCCCCGACUGCAGUGGGGCCGGAGAAGAGCGGCCCUGGGAGCGCUGCGCGGGGAACCGGCAGGGGUUCCCACCAUGGCAGGGUAGAAGAAUGGACCGCAGCCUCCCCGGGCUGGCUGCCGCGAUGUCGCCGUCCCCGAGUGUAGGAGGAAGUGAAUUACAUGCGUGUGCACACACGUAAAUAUUUUAUAAACCUCCCCUUAAUUAACCAAAUCAUUUCCAUUAUGCCUCCAAUGUGAUCAACAGCGGCGGCGUGAGGGUUUCCAGGGCUUAUAAUUUGAUGUCACCAGACGGUUGCUCAGGGGCAGAGGUGCCAUGGCCGCGCCAGCUGCACGCGCAUUUAUUUGUUUUUCUACCGCGUUCCUGUAGGGCCCCAUUAUGCAGCUUUUAAUUAGCUCGUGUGUGUGGUUCCCCGUCCCGAAGCAGCGCCGUCCCGGAGCCAGGCGAUGUACAUCCUCGCAGUACAGGUGUAGCCGCCCGUCCCGGAACGCUGGGAAACGCGUGUCUGACACAGCAAUGCGGGGCCGCCACGCAGCCGACCCGCAGCUCUCCGCAGCCCAGAGGCGCAGAUCCAAGCCGGCGGGGACUUCGGCGGCGCCCCCGUGAGCGCCGCGGUGGCUGCGGGUCCUCAGGCCUCAGAGGGAGACGGGCGAGCGCGGCUUGGGGGACCAAGUGAGGUUCCGUCCUUGCCCAAGUCCUGAGGUCCUUGUGCGGCUCCUCUGGCGCGCGUCCCGCUGCGGGCCUGGUGCGCGGGCCGGGCGCGCGGAAAACCGAGCGGCGGAGCAGGGCGCUGUGGCUUCCUGCCGGUGCCAGAGUCCCGUCCGCGGACCCAGGGCGCACAGCCCGGAUCGCCGGGAUCUCUGGGCAGGAGACCCGCCCCACCCGGCCCCUGCGCGGGCUGUCUUUUCCUUCUUGAAAUGACCCCUGUGGAGCGCCUGUAAAUCUAUCCCUCCCGCCACGGGGGAAUUCUUUUAAAGCUUUCUUUUUUGUCAGGAAUAAGAGAUUGUUCAUCUUUAACUAGACCACAUAGAAAUUAUGAUUCAACAGCAGUGUGUAUUUAAUUAGAGUAAUCUCACUUGAAUUUAAUUACUUAAUGAAUUAUUUGUUUAAAAGGUACAACGUCUUGUUUGCCAAGUGCGGUGCAGACCUCUGAUAAGAACUUCUGUUCUAAGGACAUUACAGCUUAAAAGCAGUCAUGUGUUAAGGUUUGUAUUUUAACUCCUUGAGUGUGGAACCGUUAACUGUUGAGGUACUACUCCAAGGAAAUCUCUGACAUUUAUGGGUGCAGAGAAGGUGCACAGAGGUUCCGUUCUGUUCUGUGCACAGGUCCCUUUGGAAAUUAGCAUCCUCUAACUUUUGCCGCGUAAGUCUAUUUUUAAACUUACUGCAUUCCGCUUGUGGUAGGCAGUCUCUUUUUUUCUGGUGCAAGAUGACAGCUGUCUACUAGAGGACUCAUUUUAUUAGUAUUUGCAGCGAAGCGGCACAGCCUUCAGGAAAACUCCUGCCUUGCUCCUCUGGGUCCCUGAGGCAUCCACAGUAGUGGCAGGAAGAUUUUCUGGGCUUAUCGAUCUUCUGGGAUUGGAAGCUACGAAGGCCCAUUCUUUGACCUUAACCCUUCAUUCCUAAACUGUGGAAGAAUCGCACUUCCUCUUGUUUCCCAAAAGCAAGAGCAAAAGACUCCAAGCCAUGCCAUCCUUUCCAGGAGGCUCUGAAGUUGACUUGUCUCCCGGUGAUGCUAAGGAUUGACGGAGGCAGCUAAUGCAAGGUUCAUAACCAGGGGCCGCAGAGGAGGGUGACCUGCUGGGAUUCUGACAUGAUUUCUGUGUCUUCUGUGGUUAGGUUGCUGUAGAAGGAGACAGUUUCUUUUCCUCUGCUAACCUGCAUGACGGGCAGAGCCUUCUAUCCUGGCAUGAUGAAAAUGCCCAUAUUGGGUAAGGGUGGGGGCGGGAAGCCUUUCCCCGUCAGUGAGAGAAAAUAGAAACUAGGAACACCUUAAACCCAGCGGACUCAAUUCCACUGUCAUUUUCAUUAAUAUUUCAUUAAUCAAAUAAGUUACUUAAAUGCACAUUUGGGCAUUAAUGCACUAUGGCCACAUAAAUAUUAAAUAUUGUAAGUAUCCUUUCCACCUAAAGAAGGAAUGAGCUUCUAAGAGAAGUACAAGGUGUUGAUAAGAGUGAUUAGCUUUUUGUUUCUUUUCAGAAUCCCGGAUGUUUAUGGUAGCCGAGCCUCUUGUCUUGCAAUCGGAGUUCUUAUGGCGGUUGAGUUAUCAAGUAAACUUAAUCCCAUUCAGUUAUGGCUACAGGAGCCCCUUUCUUCCAAAGAAUCAGAUCAAUGCAUAUUUUAAACUGUUUAUGAAUUUACUUCACAUAUUCUACUGAGUAACAACUGACAGUAACAACCAGAAAGGACAUGAGAUAAUAACUCAGGAAUGAGAAUACAUUUCUCAGAUCUGAGCAAAUCCAAAGACGAUUUGCUAGUAAAACCCUCAAAGGGAAUGAUAUGUGUGGGAUGGAAAAAGGUGAGAACACUAAAUGGCAUAUUUAUGUUUGA